rnacentral:snoRNA from 1 species
GUUGGGCAUACGAGGAAUCCCAUUUAAUGGGUAAUUUGCACCUGAGUAUAUUCAUUGAUGCUAUCACCUUGGAGAUCUGAUGCCUCUU